UACAGAGGGGGCAAGCGUUGUUCGGAAUUACUGGGCGUAAAGGGCGCGUAGGCGGCCUUCUAAGUCGAACGUGAAAUCCCUGGGCUCAACCCAGGAACUGCGUCCGAUACUGGAAGGCUUGAAUCCGGGAGAGGGAUGCGGAAUUCCAGGUGUAGCGGUGAAAUGCGUAGAGAUGUGGAGGAACACCAAUGGCGAAGGCAGCCUUCUGGGCCAACACUGACGCUCAUGCACGAAAGCGUGGGGAGCAAACAGG
rnacentral:rRNA from 1 species